rnacentral:lncRNA from 1 species
GAUGGAGUCUCGCUCUGUUGUCCCGGCUGGAGGGCAGUGGCAUGGUCUUGGCUCACUGCAAGCUGCAGCUCCCAGGUUCACGCCAUUCUCCUGCCUCAACCUCCCGAGUAGCUGGGACUACAGGCACCCGCUACCUCGCCCAGCUAAUUUUUUGUGUUUUUAGUAGAGAUGGGGUUUCACUGUGUUAGCCAGGAUGGUCUCAAUCUCCUGACCUUGUGAUCCACCUGCCUCGGCCUCCUUAAGAGCUGGGAUUACAGGCAUGAGCCACCGCGCCCUGCCAGCUAUGUUUUAAAAAGUUAAACAUAAGCUCACUAUAAGACCCAGCAAUUCUACUCCUAGUAAUUUACCCAAGAGAAAUAAAGACAUAUUUUCACAUCAAAGACCUGUCACAAAUGUUCAUAGCAGCUUUACUCAUAAAAGCUAAGAACUGGAAACAAACCAAAUGCCCAUCAGUUCAUGAAUGGUUAAACAGAAUGUGGUAUAUCCAGAAAAUAGAAUAUUACUCAGACAUAAAAAGGAAUAUGAUACAUGCUAGGAUAUGUCUGAACCGCAGAAAGAUUAUGCUAAAUGAGAGAGGCCAGGCUGGGCACAGUGGCUCACAUCUGUAAUCCCAGCACUUUGGGAGGCUGAGGCAGACAGAUUGCUUGAGCCCAGGAGUUCAAGCCCUGUCUGGGCAACAUAGUGAGACGAUGUCUCUACAAAAAAUACUAUAGUAUAGAUGGACCUUGUAGUAUUAAAAAUACAAAAAUUAGCUGGGCAUGAUUGUGCACACCUGUAGUCCCAGCUACUUGGGACGCCGAUGCAGGAGGAUCGGUUGAGCCUGAGAGGUCAAGGCUUCAGUGAGCCAUGAUUGCACAACUGCAUUCAAAACAAACAAACAAACAAACAAACAAAAAGAAAGAAAAGGAAAGAAAGAAGCCAGAUGCGAAAGACCUCAUAUUGUAAGGUUUCCAUUUAUAUGAAAUGUCUGGAAAAGACCAAUUUCUAGAGAUAGAAAGUAGAUGAGUGGUUGCCUGGGCUGGGGUAGAAGUAGGAAUUGACUGCAAACAGGCUUAUGUGAAUUUUGGGAAGGUGAUGGCAGUGUCCUAAAAUUGAAUUGUGUUGAGGUUGCACAAUUUUAUAAAUUUACUAAAAAUCAUUUAAUUUUACACUUUUUGUGACAUUUACAUUAUAUCUCAAUAAAGCGGUUAAAAUAAAUACAUACAUACAAAUCUGACAAUGGAAAAAAAAGAAAUGAGGUUUAAUUUUAGGAAGCAUAAUUCAGAUAUAAUCUCCAUCACAGGAAGCAAAAGUUUUCCUUAAUCUAGCCAUAUAUCUAUUAGUAUUCAUAUAUUCAGUCAUUACAUGUGAAAGAUAUGAACAUUGCGUAGUGAGGGAAACCCAAGCCCUAAAUGAUCUGAAGCUUUCUGAACUAAACUGUGUGGUCCCUGUGAUUGCUCAAUAAAUAGCAGUAAAUCUACCAAUUCUAAAAAUAGACAAUAUUGGCCUUUUAUUGGUCUCAUUUCAAAGAAAACUACAGCAGUAAAAAGGGGAGUCUGAG